rnacentral:rRNA from 1 species
AAAACUUUGUCACUCCUUACGGGGGAGACAGUCAUGAGACGUGAGUAUAAGACCUGAGUGUAAAGACCUUAGGGUGAAGCAAUUGGAGGGCAAGCUUUGGUGCCAGCAGCCGCGGUAACUCCAACUCCAAGAGUGUCUAUGGUGGAUGCUGCAGUUAAAGGGUCCGUAGUCGUGAAUGCAAUUAAAUGUCGUUGUUCAAUAGCGAUGAGUUUGCUAAUGUUUGCGGAACGGAUAGGGAGUGUAGUAUAGACUGGCGAAGAAUGAAAUCUCAAGACCCAGUUUGGACUAACGGAGGCGAAGGCGACACUCUUAGACGUAUCUUAGGAUCAAGGACGAAGGCAGGAGUAUCGAAAGUGAUUAGACACCGCUGUAGUUCCUGCAGUAAACUAUGCCGACAGCCUGUGUGUGAGAAUACGUGGGCGGGAGAAAUCUUAGUGUUCGGGCUCUGGGGAUAGUACGCUCGCAAGGGUGAAACUUAAAGCGAAAUUGACGGAAGGACACUACCAGGAGUGGAUUGUGCUGCUUAAUUUAACUCAACGCGGGAAAACUUACCAGGGUCAAGUCAUUCGUUGAUCGAAUACGUGAGAAUGGCAGGAUGGGGUGGCUU